CACUUUCCUAUUUAGAUGCCUCUCUGGUGAAUGGUACUGGACUCCUACCUUUCACUAUAUAUGAAAAUUAACUCAAGAUGGAUUAAAGACUUAAAUGUAAGGCUGCAAACUAUAAAAAUCCUAGAAGAUAAUCUAGGGAAUGUUAUUCUUGACAUUGGCCUUAGCAAAUAAUUUAUGGCUAAGUUCUCGAAAGCAAUUGCAAUGAAAACAAAAAUUGUCAAUGGAUCUAAUUAAAAUAAAGAGCUUUUCUACAGCAAGAGAAACUUUCAACAGAGUAAUGAGGCAACCUACCAAAUGGGAAGAAAUAUUAGCAAGUUAUGAACCUGACAAAGGCCUAAAAUCCAGAAUAUGUAAGGAACUUAAACAAAUCAACAAG